UUGUGUAUACAUUUUUGGGACAACCUAUAUUAAAAUGGAAUGAUAGAAGAUCAGCAUGGCCCCUCACAAGGGUGCUACACAAAUUCAUGAAGCCUUCCAUAUUAAA